UUUUGUCCACUGUCAUUCGGACUGGCAAACGUUAAACGGUGGAGUGCCGCAAGGGUCGGUGUUAGGGCCGGCUUUGUUCCUUGUUAUGAUAAAUGAUCUUCUUGUUGAUUGGAGCGAUAGAUGGAAGUAUGUUGAUGACAGUACGUUUGCUGAACGAGUUACAUCAACUGAGAGUAGUGAACUACAAGAUCUAGUGAAUGUUAUCUAUAAUUGGUGUGAAGUUAAUAAUAUGAAGCUCAACAUCGGCAAAUGUAAGGAAAUGGUAAUUGACUUUGCAAGA